rnacentral:rRNA from 1 species
CUGCUGCCUUCCGUAGGAGUCUGGUCCGUGUCUCAGUACCAGUGUGGGGGGCCGUUCCUCUCAGAACCCCUACGCAUCGUCGCCUCGGUGGGCCGUUACCCCGCCGACUAGCUAAUGCGCCGCAUGCCCAUCCGUGGCCGGGAUUGCUCCCUUUGGCGGCCUUGGGAUGUCCCUAGGCCGCGUUACGCGGUAUUAGACGGGUUUCCCCCGCUUAUCCCCCUGCCACGGGCAGGUUGCAUACGUGUUACUCACCCGUGCGCCGGUCGCCGGCAACGG